AUUGAACGCUGGCGGCAGGCCUAACACAUGCAAGUCGAGCGAGCGGCGGACGGGUGAGUAAUGUAUGGGGACUGCCCGAUAGAGGGGGAUAACUACUGGAAACGGUGGCUAAUACCGCAUACUGUCGGAUAACCCAUAUGGGAUUAGGUAGUAGGUAAGGUAAUGGCUUACCUAGGCGACGAUCCCUAGCUGGUCUGCGAGGAUGAUCAGCCACAAUGGGACUGGGCACCGGCCCAGACUCCUAGGGAGGAAGCAGUGGGAAAUAUUGCACAUUGGGCACAAGCCUGAGGCAGCCAGGCCGCGUGUAUGAGUAAGGCCCUAGGGUGGUAAAGUACUUUCAGUCGGGAGGCGUUACCGGCAGAAGAAGCACCGGCUAACUCCGUGCCAGCAGCCGCGGUAAUAC
rnacentral:rRNA from 1 species